rnacentral:rRNA from 1 species
GGACCCGCACAAGCAGUGGAGCAUGUGGUUUAAUUCGAAGAUACGCGCAGAACCUUACCAACACUUGACAUGUUCGUCGCGAGCCUAAGAGAUUAGGCUUUUCAGUUUGGCUGGACGAAACACAGGUGCUGCAUGGCUGUCGUCAGCUCGUGUCGUGAGAUGUUGGGUUAAGUCCCGCAACGAGCGCAACCCCCUACUUUUAGUUGCCACCAUUUAGUUGGGCACUUUAAAAGAACUGCCAGUGAUAAGCUGGAGGAAGGUGGGGAUGACGUCAAGUCCUCAUGGCCCCUUAUGUGUUGGGCUACACACGUGCUACAAUGGCACUUACAAUGGGAAGCAAAGAGGCGACUCUAAAGCCAAAUCCCAAAAAAUGUGUCUCAGUUCGGAUUGUACUCUGUAACUCGAGUGCAUGAAGCUGGAAUUGCUAGUAAUCG